rnacentral:rRNA from 1 species
UCGGGUCGUAAAGCUCUGUUGUUAGAGAAGAACAAGUACGAGAGUAACUGCUCGUACCUUGACGGUACUAACCAGAAAGCCACGGCUAACUACGUGCCAGCAGCCGCGGUAAUACGUAGGUGGCAAGCGUUAUCCGGAAUUAUUGGGCGUAAAGCGCGCGCAGGCGGUCUCUUAAGUCUGAUGUGAAAGCCCACGGCUCAACCGUGGAGGGUCAUUGGAAACUGGGAGACUUGAGUGCAGGAGAGAAAAGUGGAAUUCCACGUGUAGCGGUGAAAUGCGUAGAGAUGUGGAGGAACACCAGUGGCGAAGGCGGCUUUUUGGCCUGUAACUGACGCUGAGGCGCGAAAGCGUGGGGAGCAAACAGGAUUAGAUACCCUGGUAGUCCACGCCGUAAACGAUGAGUGCUAGGUGUUGGGGGGUUCCACCCUCAGUGCUGAAGUUAACACAUUAAGCACUCCGCCUGGGGAGUACGACCGCAAGGUUGAAACUCAAAGGAAUUGACGGGGGCCCGCACAAGCAGUGGAGCAUGUGGUUUAAUUCGAAGCAACGCGAAGAACCUUACCAGGUCUUGACAUCCUCUGACCACUCUAGAGAUAGAGCUUUCCCCUUCGGGGGACAGGAGUGACAGGUGGUGCAUGG